AGCCCUGAGGUGUAAGCAUAUAUGAUUGCAAAUCAUAAGUAGCAGGUUUACGUCUGCCGGGGCUU
rnacentral:tRNA from 1 species